AUUGAACGCUGGCGGCAGGCCUAACACAUGCAAGUCGAGCGGAUGAAGGGAGCUUGCUCCUGGAUUCAGCGGCGGACGGGUGAGUAAUGCCUAGGAAUCUGCCUGGUAGUGGGGGAUAACGUCCGGAAACGGGCGCUAAUACCGCAUACGUCCUGAGGGGGAAAGUGGGGGAUCUUCGGACCUCACGCUAUCAGAUGAGCCUAGGUCGGAUUAGCUAGUUGGUGGGGUAAAGGCCUACCAAGGCGACGAUCCGUAACUGGUCUGAGAGGAUGAUCAGUCACACUGGAACUGAGACACGGUCCAGACUCCUACGGGAGGCAGCAGUGGGGAAUAUUGGACAAUGGGCGAAAGCCUGAUCCAGCCAUGCCGCGUGUGUGAAGAAGGUCUUCGGAUUGUAAAGCACUUUAAGUUGGGAGGAAGGGCAGUAAGUUAAUACCUUGCUGUUUUGACGUUACCAACAGAAUAAGCACCGGCUAACCUCGUG
rnacentral:rRNA from 1 species